GUUGAACGCUGGCGGCGUGCCUAAUACAUGCAAGUCGAGCGAACAGAUGAGGAGCUUGCUCCUCUGACGUUAGCGGCGGACGGGUGAGUAACACGUGGAUAACCUACCUAUAAGACUGGGAUAACUUCGGGAAACCGGAGCUAAUACCGGAUAAUAUAUUGAACCGCAUGGUUCAAUAGUGAAAGACGGUUUUGCUGUCACUUAUAGAUGGAUCCGCGCCGCAUUAGCUAGUUGGUAAGGUAACGGCUUACCAAGGCAACGAUGCGUAGCCGACCUGAGAGGGUGAUCGGCCACACUGGAACUGAGACACGGUCCAGACUCCUACGGGAGGCAGCAGUAGGGAAUCUUCCGCAAUGGGCGAAAGCCUGACGGAGCAACGCCGCGUGAGUGAUGAAGGUCUUCGGAUCGUAAAACUCUGUUAUUAGGGAAGAACAAAUGUGUAAGUAACUAUGCACGUCUUGACGGUACCUAAUCAGAAAGCCACGGCUAACUACGUG
rnacentral:rRNA from 1 species